GGGCCCGCACAAGCGGUGGAGCAUGUGGUUUAAUUCGAAGCAACGCGAAGAACCUUACCAGGUCUUGACAUCUUCUGAAAAUCUUAGAGAUAAGACGUUCCCUUCGGGGACAGAAUGACAGGUGGUGCAUGGUUGUCGUCAGCUCGUGUCGUGAGAUGUUGGGUUAAGUCCCGCAACGAGCGCAACCCUUAUUGCUAGUUGCCAGCAUUUAGUUGGGCACUCUAGUGAGACUGCCGGUGACAAACCGGAGGAAGGUGGGG
rnacentral:rRNA from 1 species